GACCUGGUGGUGGAGUUGGUGAAGUGCCUGCUCUUUAUAACAAAUAAGUUGCAACUUGGCAGGAGUUCCUCGUUCGAUCCGGGGUUAGGUCG